rnacentral:rRNA from 1 species
GUGACGAAAAAACGAUACGGGACUCAUCCGAGGCCCCGUAAUCGGAAUGAGUAUACUCUAAAUCCUUAUACGAGUAUCAAUUGGAGGGCAAGUCUGGUGCCAGCAGCCGCGGUAAUUCCAGCUCCAAUAGCGUAUAUUAAAGUUGUUGCGGUUAAAAAGCUCGUAGUUGGAUCUGUGUCCCGCGCCGUCGGUUCACCGCCUGUCGGUGUUCAACUGGCGUGUAUGCGGGACGUCCUGCCGGUGGCGGUCCGGUUCCCCGCAGGUUCGUAGGGGUCGUCCUUGCUUUGCUUGCGGCGUCCCCGAAGGCUUGCGCGGUGUAUCCGGCCGCCUUUUCGAUCCCGUCGCGGUGCUCUUCACCGAGUGUCGAGGCGGGCCGGCACGUUUACUUUGAACAAAUUAGAGUGCUUUAAGCAGGCCCUGUCAUGCCUGUAUGUUGUGUGCAUGGAAUAAUGGAAUAGGACCUCGGUUCUAUUUUGUUGGUUUUCGGAAUCUGAGGUAAUGAUCAAUGGGGACAGGCGGGGGCAUUCGUAUUGCGACGUUAGAGGUGAAAUUCUUGGAUCGUCGCAAGACGGACCGAAGCGAAAGCAUUUGCCAAGUAUGUUCUCGUCGAUCAAGAACGAAAGUUAGAGGUUCGAAGGCGAUCAGAUACCGCCCUAGUUCUAACCAUAAACUAUGCCUGCCAGCGAUCCGCCGAAGUUCCUCCGAUGACUCGGCGGGCAGCUUCCGGGAAACCAGAGCUUUUGGGUUCCGGGGGAAGUAUGGUUGCAAAGCUGAAACUUAAAGGAAUUGACGGAAGGGCACCACCAGGAGUGGAGCCUGCGGCUUAAUUUGACUCAACACGGGAAAACUCACCAGGCCCGGACACCGGAAGGAUUGACAGAUUGAGAGCUCUUUCUUGAUUCGGUGGGUGGUGGUGCAUGGCCGUUCUUAGUUGGUGGAGCGAUUUGUCUGGUUAAUUCCGAUAACGAACGAGACUCUAGCCUACUAACUAGGCGUACCCGGUAUCCACAAUCGUGCUACCGGCGAUCAAAUUUCUUCUUAGAGGGACAGGCGGCUUCUAGCCGCACGAGACUGAGCAAUAACAGGUCUGUGAUGCCCUUAGAUGUCCUGGGCCGCACGCGCGCUACACUGAAGGAAUCAGCGUGUCUUCCCUGUCCGAAAGGACCGGGUAAUCCGCUGAACCUCCUUUGUGCUAGGGAUUGGGGCUUGCAAUUGUUCCCCAUUAACGAGCAUUCCCAGUUAACGCGAGUCAUAGCUCCCGUUUUACGUCCCUGCCCUGGUGCG